CUCUCUUACCAACCAGAAACUCGGUACCUCAUAGCAUCUGGAGGAAAACUUAGCCAUCUAUACCUCUCAAAAAUCGGCCAUCUCUCAAAUCUUAUCUCUCCUUACCCAAAACUAAUCUCUCCUUCAACCCCGACAUCCUUACUGUUUGCAUUCAAGUCCGGCUUAAUGGAGUUCUCCACCAGCGACUCAAGAGAUUAGAAGAAGCUGGACUAUUCUAUUUUCGAUUGGGUUAUUGAUUUCUCUCCUAAUCUCCUUGACAAAUCGAUGAUCGACGACGGUUGCAUGACGGGCAGCGACACAUCUCUUCUCUCGGUCUCUCCUCGAAUGACGGUCUUCAUCUCUCUCUCCACAUCACUCGAUAUCUCAGUCUUUAAUUCAAAAUUUUGAUCAGUUUACUAGGAAACAAAGGAAAUGCAGUUUUGGAGAAGGAAAACCUAGAAGCGAGGGAUUUAGCCACAAGGGAGGUGAUACCCACAAUGGCAAUCGUUUGAAUACGAGAUAUCCAGCCUUUACAGACUGACCUACAAAUCAAAGGGCGAGUCUGCAGGGUGUGGAGAGUGAAGAAAUACAGACCUGUUCCUAGAAACAAUGGUCUUCAGUUUGUUUUAGUUAAUGAAAAGAACGAGGCAAUCCAAGGAUCUUUUCUAGAAGCAUACUACACCACAAUAAGGACUGGUCCGAUUGCAGCUGUCUCCGAAUAUUGUCUGGGUUUUCUUUAAAGCUCUGAUCUGUGGAUGGAAGUUGAGGGUUUCGGGGUUGUGUGUUUUUGAUUGUGUUGUUUUUUGGUCAAAUUA